AUUGAACGCUGGCGGAAUGCUUUACACAUGCAAGUCGAACGGCAGCACGGACUUCGGUCUGGUGGCGAGUGGCGAACGGGUGAGUAAUGUAUCGGAACGUGCCCAGUCGUGGGGGAUAACGUAGUGAAAAUUACGCUAAUACCGCAUACGAUCUAUGGAUGAAAGCGGGGGAUCGCAAGACCUCGCGCGAUUGGAGCGGCUGAUAUCAGAUUAGGUAGUUGGUGGGGUAAAGGCCCACCAAGCCAACGAUCUGUAGCUGGUCUGAGAGGACGACCAGCCACAAUGGAACUGAGACACGGUCCAGACUCCUACGGGAGGCAGCAGUGGGGAAUUUUGGACAAUGGGCGAAAGCCUGAUCCAGCCAUUCCGCGUGCAGGAUGAAGGCCCUCGGGUUGUAAACUGCUUUUGUACAGAACGAAAGGGUUUCUACUAAUACUAGGAGCUCAUGACGGUACUGUAAGAAUAAGCACCGGCUAACUACGUGCCAGCCGCCGCGGUAA
rnacentral:rRNA from 1 species